UGCCAGACUCCUACGGGAGGCAGCAGUGAGGAAUAUUGGUCAAUGGGCGGAAGCCUGAACCAGCCAAGUCGCGUGAGGGAAGAAGGCCCUGCGGGUCGCAGACCUCUUUGGACGGGGAGCAAGGCCGCCGACGUGUCGGCGGAAGGAGAGUACCCGUAGAACAAGCAUCGGCUAACUACGUGCCAGCAGCCGCGGUAAUACGUAGGGGGCAAGCGUUAUCCGGAUUCACUGGGUGUAAAGGGAGCGUAGACGGCGACGCAAGUCUGGAGUGAAAGCCCGGGGCCCAACCCCGGGACUGCUCUGGAAACUGCGGCGCUGGAGUACGGGAGGGGCAGGCGGAAUUCCUGGUGUAGCGGUGAAAUGCGUAGAUAUCAGGAGGAACACCGGUGGCGAAGGCGGCCUGCUGGACUGCGACUGACGUUGAGGCCCGAAAGCGUGGGGAGCAAACAGGAUUAGAUACCCCAGUA
rnacentral:rRNA from 1 species